rnacentral:rRNA from 1 species
UGGGGAAUUUUGGACAAUGGGCGCAAGCCUGAUCCAGCCAUGCCGCGUGCGGGAAGAAGGCCUUCGGGUUGUAAACCGCUUUUGUCAGGGAAGAAAUCCUCUGAGUUAAUACCUCGGGAGGAUGACGGUACCUGAAGAAUAAGCACCGGCUAACUACGUGCCAGCAGCCGCGGUAAUACGUAGGGUGCAAGCGUUAAUCGGAAUUACUGGGCGUAAAGCGUGCGCAGGCGGUUUUGUAAGACAGAGGUGAAAUCCCCGGGCUCAACCUGGGAACUGCCUUUGUGACUGCAAGGCUUGAGUGCGGCAGAGGGGGGAUGGAAUUCCGCGUGUAGCAGUGAAAUGCGUAGAUAUGCGGAGGAACACCGAUGGCGAAGGCAAUCCCCUGGGCCUGCACUGACGCUCAUGCACGAAAGCGUGGGGAGCAAACAGGAUUAGAUACCCUGGUAGUCCACGCCCUAAACGAUGUCAACUGGUUGUUGGGAAGGUUCCUUCUCAGUAACGUAGCUAACGCGUGAAGUUGACCGCCUGGGGAG